rnacentral:tRNA from 1 species
GGAUAAAUGGCAGAGCGGAUUAUUGCCCUCGUCUUGAAAACGAGUAAACCGAAAGGUUUCGUGGGUUCGAAUCCUACUUUAUCCUCCA